rnacentral:lncRNA from 1 species
GCAGAAAAAUACAUUUUAUGGCUCCAGUAAUUUAAGAAAGCUCUGAAAAAUCAAAUCUGUCCAUGGGAGUGCUAGCAUACUGUCUGUUAGAUUAAAUGAAGCUGUAAGCAUCUUUGAAGUACAAAUGAUACUUGGAAAGUAAAUGAAGCUGGG